rnacentral:rRNA from 1 species
CAGUCGCCGCGGUAAUACGAAGGGUGCAAGCGUUAAUCGGAAUUACUGGGCGUAAAGCGUGCGUAGGCGGUGAGUUAAGUCUGCUGUGAAAUCCCCGGGCUCAACCUGGGAAUGGCAGUGGAUACUGGCUCGCUAGAGUGUGUCAGAGGAUGGUGGAAUUCCCGGUGUAGCGGUGAAAUGCGUAGAGAUCGGGAGGAACAUCAGUGGCGAAGGCGGCCAUCUGGGACAACACUGACGCUGAGGCACGAAAGCGUGGGGAGCAGACAGGAUUAGAUACCCCAGUAGUCCCUGUCUCUUAUAC